GAUCCCCUGGAACUGGAGUUCUGGACACUUGGGAGCUGGGAAUCCCACUUGGAUCCUUGGAGACAGCAGCAGAAAUUUUGUACACAGGGUCCUCUGUGUCUGGCCUGAGCCUAUGGGAACUAAGACAGCCACCAGGAUCUGCGCUCUCAAGCCACAGUGGAGCUCUCAAGACAGUUUGCUGCCCUCUCUGCAGCCCUCGGGGUUCUUUGUGUGUGUUGGAUGACAUCAAGGGAGAGAGGACCUGGGGAAAGGAUCCUGGUUUGGUUCCCAGCACUCACGUGGUCUCUCAUAACCGUGUUCCAGGGAUCCAUGCUGUCUUCUGGCCUCUACCACUACCAGGCAUGUGCACGGUGCGCAGACAUACAGCAGAACACCCAGACACAUAAAAAUAAUAAUUCUUUUUUUUAAAGUACAUUUCCUGCCACACACCUUUAAUCCCAGAACUCAGGAAGCAAAGGCAGGUAAAUCUUUAUGAGUUUGGGGAUAACCUGGUCUAUACAGAGGACCCAAAUUCCAUUCUUAGCACCCACAUCUGGUGGCUCACAA